AUUGAACGCUGGCGGCAGGCCUAACACAUGCAAGUCGAACGGUAACAGGAAGAAGCUUGCUUCUUUGCUGACGAGUGGCGGGCGGGUGAGUAAUGUCUGGGAAACUGCCUGAUGGAGGGGGAUAACUACUGGAAACGGUAGCUAAUACCGCAUAACGUCGCAAGACCAAAAAGGGGGACCUUCGGGCCUCUUGCCAUCGGAUGUGCCCAGAUGGGAUUAGCUAGUAGGUGGGGUAACGGCUCACCUAGGCGACGAUCCCUAGCUGGUCUGAGAGGAUGACCAGCCACACUGGAACUGAGACACGGUCCAGACUCCUACGGGAGGCAGCAGUGGGGAAUAUUGCACAAUGGGCGCAAGCCUGAUGCAGCCAUGCCGCGUGUAUGAAGAAGGCCUUCGGGUUGUAAAGUACUUUCAGCGGGGAGGAAGGGAGUAAAGUUAAUACCUUUGCUCAUUGACGUUACCCGCAGAAGAAGCACCGGCUAACUCCGUG
rnacentral:rRNA from 1 species